CCGAUUUGGCUGAAAGGAGACGGGAACUUCUGGGCCCAAGUUGUAAUAGGUUGAAAGAUAGCUUAAAAAAUCCGUUAUUUUUUUCUACUAAAUCAUUUAAAAAAUCAGCUCAAUUCACAAUCUGGAAGAUGAGAAAUGUAAAAAAUAAGAUAAGAUCAAAAAUAAAAUAGUGACAUGACACUGACAGCAGUCCCGGCGACCGGCGUAUGCGUUUAAAAAACUUUGUUAAUUGUUUACACGUUUGACUUUGGCUUCUUAGUUUGGAUUUAUUUGCCGGCUUAUCGAUUGGAAAUCGACAUCAUGGAUCUUUGUGUGAACUGUGGCAUAGAAAAGAAAAAGGAAAAAGCAACAACUAGUUGUAAUACCACAGGCAGACGAGUCUUGAAUGACGAAAUGAUUCUCUUAGUGAUUCGUCGAUGGCGUACACCGCAGCCUGUAAACAACAGUGACUAUAUUUGCUAAGCUUGCUGGAACAAACAUCAGCUAUUGAUCAACCAAGACAAUUUGGCCACCGUAAUGUUUGCCUCCGCUCUGGUCGCUCUGUUGCAUCACAAGUCACUCAUCUGCUUCAUACAGGCUCAUCUUGUGAACUGAGAAUUUAUAAUGCCAUAGAAGAAUGUAUUAUGCCUCAAACUAUAAAACAAGGAAGCCACAUCUGCCAUAAUUGUUGGGUGGCUGCAGACAGGGCUGCUGUCCAUAUAGUCUCAGGCCCAUCAACUUCUUCCCGAGUUCUAACUGAGCCUCCUGCUAGCCAGCCUGGAGAAGAUAGAAACAACCAACCAGAACCUACUAUUGUAUUACCAGGAUAUAUGAGAGCUGUUCCUCUUUUUAAAGUAUUAUGUUCCUGAGAAUAAUCGUCUAUGUGAUAUUCAUUUAGUUAUUGAAGGCUGGGAUGAUAAUUUAAUGAUAAUGAUAAUUUAAAUGUUUUUCCCCAGCUAACCCACAGUGAACUAAUUCUCAUACCAUUAGGUAUUUAUCAAAUUGUUUCAAAAAUGUUGUUUGCUUUGUUAAAAAGCAGGCACGUUCAUAUUAUGGAGAGAAUGUAAGGGGUAACGAUGGUUAUUUAAUAGAAGUGUGCAGGGAGGUCAGCAGUAGCCUACUUCGAGAGCUGUCGGCUUCAAAUAGCUCAUGGCUACUUCGGGGAUGCAUACAGUCUAGACAUAUUAGUCGAAAAACUUAUUUUGUUUAUGUUUUUGUUGACAGCUCUUGCAGAGGUAGAGAAGCAAUAUUGAAUGAUUAUUUCAAUUGCAUUGUAGGCAAAAGGGCUUUAGGCUUCUGCGCACAUGUUAUGUCAAUAAUAUGGUACCUUAGUCGGGCUAGGUACCAAGAAAAUAUAGUACCCCCUGCACAAUUCUUAGAUGAUAUAUUAAUUAUAAUUGAAAAUGAAUAAAAAUCAACUAAAUAAAGUGUUUUAUUUUAUCACUCUUUACCCUUGAGCCUUACUUACCUUACCCUCAUUAUUCGGCUCACUGCUGAGCUCGAGUCUACUCUCAGAAUGAGAGGGGUUAGGCCAAUAGUCCAUCAUGCUGGCCCAAAGCGUAUUGGCAGACUUCACACACACAGAGAAUUAAGAAAACUCUCUGGAAUACAGGUUUCCUCAUGGUGUUUUUCUUUCACCGUUAAGACCUUACCCUACUUACCAUGAUCUCAUCAGUCAUUUGAAUUCUAUCUUAUCAUUCAUCCAAUUCGAAAAGUAAAUUAACAAUGGUCUAAGUUUAAUAAUAAAAUCAAACACUUGAAAAAUUAGCUAUUCAUUAUGUAGGUAAUAUCAGCUGUUAUCUUAAAUAACCUCACUUUUACUAAAUCUCGUAUAUCUCUAAUUCCAGAUUGUCAAAUUCUAUAAUAUUUUCAGUGAAAGUUUAAUAAUAUCUAAGCUAUUCAUUGACACUUAUUUCAUCCUUUUACAUUCGUGGCCCAAAUUGUAUGAAAGAGUUUCAAUCUC
rnacentral:lncRNA from 1 species